GCGCAGGUGGUGGAAUGGUAGACACGCUGGCUUGAGGGGCCAGUGGCCGCAAGGCCGUGAAGGUUCAAGUCCUUUUCUGCGCACCA
rnacentral:tRNA from 1 species